rnacentral:misc_RNA from 1 species
AAAAUGCGAUACGUCGUGUGAAUUGCAGGGUUCAGCGAAUCACGAAAUCCUCGAACGCACCUUGCGCCUCUGAGCUCUCUUGGAGGCGUGCUUGUUUGAGCGUCGUUUAAUAGUAAUCAACACUAUUCUUUCAUUUUCUGAAAUAUUGAAGAUGAGCAUGGAUGCGUGUUGGAACUGGAUGUUUGGGGGAAAAAGGGGAAACCUUUUUUUUUUUUCUAAUCAUUCGAAAUUCAGCAAAAAGGUCGAAAUGGUUUUCACGUUAAAACCUCCUCACCUAAACAGUCUCAGCGUUGUUUAAGGUCCUUAACUGGCCAUUUAUUUCGUUGGGACUCGAGGACGGUUCAGUGUUUAUCAAUUUUCGAGUUUAAUCCUUUUGAAUCGGGCGUCAGGGCCCGAUGCUGGUGUUGACGGCAGCAACAAAGAAUCCUCGUCAAUAAGUUUUUUUAAACUCGCGACCUCAAAUCAAGCAAGGCUACCCGCUGAAUUUAAGC